UACGUAGGGGGCAAGCGUUGUCCGGAUUUAUUGGGCGUAAAGAGCGUGUAGGCGGCUUUACAGGUCCGUUGUGAAAACUCGAGGCUCAACCUCGAGACGUCGGUUGAAACCGUCUGGCUAGAGUCCGGAAGAGGAGAGUGGAAUUCCCGGUGUAGCGGUGAAAUGCGCAGAUAUCGGGGAAGAACACCCGUGGCGAAGGCGGCUCUCUGGGACGGUACUGACGCUGAGACGCGAAAGCGUGGGGAGCGAACAGG
rnacentral:rRNA from 1 species